rnacentral:sRNA from 1 species
GGAUGUGAGGGUGAUCUCCUGUGACAUCAGUCUCCCAAUUGAUUAUCACCUGUGUAUCUGGCUGGGUAGAGAGUUGUCCCUUUUUCUCCCUCACAUCUCCAUGUGCACCCACCCCAAAGCUGGGAGGCUGGGAAAGAGGAUAACAUUCCACAAUUAGAGAAGGAGCAUGUAAUGGCUAUUCCUCAUUGUCAACUUGACUAUAUCUGGAAUGAACUACAAUCCAGAAUUGGAGGACUCACCUAUGAUCCAAAUCU